UUUUUUUUAAACUCCCUCCCUCAUUCCCUCCCCGGCCCCGCCCCUUUUUUCCCUCGCGCCUGCGCGCUCUGCCCUCGCGCCCUUCCACCCAGCUGCUGCCGCUGCUCCGUGGGCGUGUGAGGGAUUGGGUCUGCGCAUGCGUUCCCUGGGGAUGAGGCGGGGGGGGAGAAAGAACGCCCGCGUGCCGUAGCUCGCUUUCGUUUGAUUGGCAGCUCUCUCGAACCAUUCAGAGAGGGUGAAAAAAACAAAGUGGGGAGGAGGGAGGAUCCGCCUCUCUCUCUCGGAAGGGGUUCCGCUCCCGCCUCUAAGCUUUGAGGCUCCGCCUCCCAGUGGGCGGGGCUCGAUGCAGGCGUUCCAAAGGAGGAAGAAGAAAAAGAAGGGAGGAGGAGGCGCCAGGAAGCCUAAUCCGAAUGCCUUCAGUGGCUCAGGGCGGGUUGAGCGUGUUCUACUCAGGAAUUACUCUUAGACACAUCUUUCUAUGGGAAAUAAAGCCCAACUGCUCAUUGGAGGGAAGGAUAUUAGAGGCAAAGAUGAAAUACUUUGGCCACAUAAUGAGAAGACAGCCAAGCUUGGAGAAGACAAUGAUGCUGGGAAAAAGGAAGGAAAAAGGAAGAGGGGCUGACCAAGGGCAAGGUGGAUGGAUGGGAUCCUUGAAGUGACUGGUUUGGCCUUGAAGGAGCUGGGGUGGUCACGGCUGAUAGGGAGCUCUGGUGUGGGAGGUCACGAAGAGUCGGAAGCGACUGAACAAAUAAACAACAAAAAGUCAUACAAUCAUUGAGUAACAGAGUUGGAAGAGACCACAUGGGCCAUCUAGUCCAAUCCAUGCCUUGCAGGAAAAGCACAAUCAAAGCACCCCUGACAGAUGACCAUCCAGCCUCUGUUUAAAAGCCUCCAAAAAAAGGAGCCUUCACUGAGGCAGAGAGUUACACUGCUGAACAGCUCUUACAGUCAGGAAGUUCUUCCUAAUGUUCAGAUGGAAUCUCCUUGCCUAUAAUUUGAACCCAUUGCUCCAAGUCCUAGCAAAAAAACAGCCUUCUCCCUCUCCCUUAGAAUUAUGGUAGUCCUUCCCUCCGUGUCUGUAUGUAUAUAUACAUAUUUUUUAGAUUGUAUGCCUUUGGAGUUCCCCAAUGCUUUUGGUUGUUUUGUUUGUAAACCAUAAUGCAUAUUAAUGUCACUAAAUAAUCAAACAGACAACAUCAACACAUGACAUUUUGGUGUUGAUCCAGAUGUCAUCCCAACACUCUAAGUGCUUCUAGGUUUCACUGAGGUCCUCAUACAUUAUUGUGGCACUCUAAAAGUAGGACUAUACAGCUAUUUGUUGAUUAUAUCUCUGCAGAGUGAAAUGGAAGAACUAUGUGAAAUGAACCUUCAUAUCCAUAUUGCUAUGCGUUAUUAUCCCAAAUAAUUGGAUGAUAGAAUGCAGUAAAUACAAGUAAAAUCUUUCUACAACAA